UAACACACAUACUCCCAUUCAUACUCCCCUCUGUCCUACUCUGUUGCUUCACAAUUGUUGAAUUAUUGACUCAAUUAGUCAAUCUACUGCUCUUCUACCCCCACACACACUUCUAAAGAAUUCCCUUCAGUCACCUAACAGGUUUGCUUCAGACUCCUACUCUGUUACCUCAGAAUGUCCCAUUUGUCCUACUAAAUGGCUUAAUAAAUCAAUCUACUAGGCUACUCUAAGGCUAUCUUUAUAGAUCAGAGCCUGUGCUGUCUCACACAAGCUCAGUCGUCGAGCCCCACGUCUGGAGACAACCCCUUGGGAAAAAUACCAGAGAGCUCAAGUUUCUUAGAGAGGAAAGACAGAGAAGAAGCUUUCGGGUUAGAAAAAAUGUUGUUUUUCUCUUUCCUUCUCUCUCCAAGGCUCUCCCCCUCCUCUCCCCUACACCCAUCCAGCUUCUAAAGUAUGCAGUACAGUAUAUUGUGUCAAUAUUGGAGUCUGUUCAAAUUAAGAAAGGAAGUGUUGCAUUCUUUUCAGUGCUGUUUAUUAAAACCACAAAAACAAUCACACUGUAAAUAAUGUAAUUUAGUAGGUGAAACAUUUGUUUGACAGGGUACAAAAAUUCAUGUCACACCACAUUAACCACAGAGCUAAUGUGUUGAGUGUUCUGUCCUUUCUUGCAGACCACACGCAGAGUUAAAGAGGAGAUAAAAGAGACCCAGAGUGGUUCCGACUGGGCCCAGAGUGAAAGAAGGAACAGAAGGUCCAGUUCAUUUACCACAAGGUAUGUAGUCCACCAGUGGAUUUGCAUAGCAAUGAGUGAGGAGAGACACUUUGGAAUCAUCCCUGUUUGAAAUAUUAUAUUUUUUCACGUGGUUUUCAGACAAUGUUUCAUAUGUACAUUUUUCA
rnacentral:lncRNA from 1 species